rnacentral:rRNA from 1 species
UAGGACCUACGGGGGGCAGCAGUGGGGAAUAUUGCACAAUGGGGGGAACCCUGAUGCAGCAAUGCCGCGUGAAGGAUGAAGGUUUUCGGAUUGUAAACCUCUUUUGCCGGGGAGCAAGGGCCGGGACGAGUCCCGGUCCGGAGAGUACCCGGAGAAAAAGCAUCGGCUAACUCCGUGCCAGCAGCCGCGGUAAUACGGAGGAUGCGAGCGUUAUCCGGAUUUAUUGGGUUUAAAGGGUGCGUAGGCGGGCUUUUAAGUCAGCGGUAAAAAUUCGGGGCUCAACCCCGUCCGGCCGUUGAAACUGG